CCCCCAUUCGUUGGCAAAUAGAAAUAAAAAAAAAUUAAAAUUGUGUGGUAACAAUACACCAUGCAAGUUUUCUCUCUACAAUAUAAAAUAAGAAUAAACAGUGUGGUGCUUAGAUGAGGUUGAGAAGGAAUUGCCAGCACAGGGACAGAGAGUCAGAGAGACCAUAGGGGUGGAGGGAAGCAGGUGCUCGGCAGCUAGCCCAGUCUCUCAUGCUUGGAGGGACUCUGGGUUAGCCUCUGCUAAGCAGGAGAUUUCACCAUUCUAUGGCUCCAAAGUUCUCCGGGUCAUGAUGUCUGCUGGAUGGGAGUUUCCACUGUUACCAUGUAAUUUACCAAACAUGUACAAAGUGUCUUGGUCAUAGAGCAAGCAAAAAUGAGCAACAAAUAGGCCAAAUAACAGCAUAUCAAGGUUCCAGGUCAUAAUCCCCAGUGCCUGCAAAGGCUGCCUUAAGACUGCAAAGGGAUUUUGUUUUUUGUUUUUUGUUUUUUUGUUUUUUGUUUUUUCAGACAAAAUGAAGAAUGUUAAAAUGAAGUGACCAUCUUGAAUCAUUAUCUGAGCAAGCCUGAAGUAACCAUCUAGCCCUUUGAUAUAAGGUCAGAGGAUGCUGUUGCUGGCUUUGAAGAUGGACAAGAGGACCACGAGCCAAAGAGCACAUGUCUGCAUGCUGGAAAAGCCUAAGAAAAGGACUCUUCCCUGGAGACUCCAGGGGGUGUGAGCCCUGCCACACCUUGAUUCUAAACACUGCUGCCCAAGAUCCAUUUCACCCUUCAGAACUGAGGGGCAAAGGACUGCCUCUGAUAGACAGGGACAGGUGGGGCACGAAAACGGCAGUUUAUAAAGGUUGUAUUUGUGGGUGUUUAUUCAUCCUGCUGAGGAGACAUAAACAGAGAAGUCUAUUCAGCCCAGAUAGAGCACCAAUGCCAAACCAAAGCACUUGCUCUCAACCUUCCCAAUACUUGGGGUCCUUCAGUACAGUUCCUCAUGCUAUGACCCCCCAACCAUAAAAUUAUUUUGUUGCUA